rnacentral:rRNA from 1 species
UACGAAGGGGGCUAGCGUUGCUCGGAAUCACUGGGCGUAAAGCGCACGUAGGCGGAUUGUUAAGUCAGGGGUGAAAUCCCGGAGCUCAACUCCGGAACUGCCUUUGAUACUGGCGAUCUUGAGUCCGGGAGAGGUGAGUGGAACUGCGAGUGUAGAGGUGAAAUUCGUAGAUAUUCGCAAGAACACCAGUGGCGAAGGCGGACUCACUGGCCCGGUACUGACGCUGAGGUGCGAAAGCG